rnacentral:rRNA from 1 species
UAUAGCAAUAGCUACUUGCAUCAUUGUACGAUGAUGCAAGAUCGACUAUGUCGAAUAAAAUUCUAGGUAGAAUUAUGAUAAUGACAUUGUCUGCCUAUGUGUCUUGACCAAAUUACGUGCCAGCAGUCGCGGUAAUACGUAGAAGACUAGUGUUAUUCAUGUUUAAUCGGUUUAAAGGGUACCUAGACGGUAAAUCAAGCUUUCAAAGAAAUAGAGUUAAAGGACUAAUUUACUAGAGUUACUUAUGAGGGGGUAUUAAAGUACUGCUGGUGUAGAGAUGAAAUUCUGUCAUACCUCUUUUCAAAAGAAAAAUGAUGGCACAGGUAUAGGCGAAGGCAUCCCCUUAUGUGAUAACUGACGUUGAGGGACGAAGGCUUUGUGUAGCGAACAGGAUUAGAUACCCCAGUAGUCGAAGCAGAAAAUGAUGAAUGUCAUAGAUUAGAGGUAAGUUUAUUCUAUAAAUGAAAGUGUAAGCAUUCCACCUCAUGAGUAAUUUGGCAACAUUGGAACUGAAAUCAUUAGACCGUUUCUGAAACCAGUAGUGAAGUAUGUUGUUUAAUUUGAUGAUCCGCAAAAAACCUUACCACAAUUUGAAUAUUUAUAUUUUUUUUAUUGUUUUUUUGUUAAUUUUCUUCUAAGAACAAAGUUAAUAAUGAGGCAAUAAGGUAUAUUUACAAGCGUUGCACGGCUGUCUUCAGUUAAUGUCGCGAGACUUUGGUUAGUUCCAUUAAAUUAACGUAAACCCUUACUUUAUUUUUAUAUAGAGUAGUUCCCCGCUAUAUUGGAUAUGAU